rfam:Punica granatum cultivar Dabenzi scaffold343, whole genome shotgun sequence.
AGACCGUGAUGUGGGCACCGUCUCCAUAAUUCCUUGAACCUUUCCCAUUCCUCUCCCAAAGAUUCGAACUCUUGUUGCCCAAACGUCAUGAUGUCAUUUCUCAUCUU